rnacentral:tRNA from 2 species
GGGGAUGUAGCUCAGCUGGGAGAGCGCUGCCUUCGCAAGGCAGAGGUCGAGAGUUCGAUCCUCUUCAUCUCCACCA